GACGAACGCUGGCGGCGUGCCUAACACAUGCCAGUCGAGCGGACUUUCCGGAUUGCUUGCACUCCGGAAGGUUAGCGGCGGGCGAGCGGGUAAUACGUAGGCAACCUCCCCAUGAGACCGGGAUUACAUUCGGAAACGAAUGCUAAUACCGGAUUGUCUGGCCUCUCGCUGGGGGGGAUCGGGAUAGGCGGAGCAAUCUGCCGCUUGUGGAUGGGCCUGCGGCGCAUUAGCUGGUUGGUGGGGUAACGGCCUAACAAGGCGACGAGGCGUAGACGCCCCGAAGGGGAGGUCGCCCAGCCUGGGAGUGAGGCAGGGCACAGACACCUGCGGGAGGCAACAGUAGGGAAUCUUACGCAAUGGAGGAAAGUCUGACGGAGCAACGCGGGGUGAGUGAUGAAGGCGUACGGGUGGUAAAGCUCUGUUGCCAGGGAAGAACGGGUAGGGGAGUAACUGCCAUGGUCAUGACGGUACCUGAGGAGAAAGCCCCGGCUAACUACGUG
rnacentral:rRNA from 1 species